AUCUGGAAAGAUGAAUCAAAGAAGGUAAUAAUCCUGUAGUCGAAAAUGUUGUCUCUCUUGAGUGGAUCCUGAGUACGACGGAACACGUGAAAUUCCGUCGGAAUCUGGGAGGACCAUCUCCUAAGGCUAAAUACUCUCUAGUGACCGAUAGUGAACCAGUACCGUGAGGGAAAGGUGAAAAGCACCCCGGAAGGGGAGUGAAAUAGAACCUGAAACCGUGUGCUUACAAGUAGUCAGAGCCCGUUAAUGGGUGAUGGCGUGCCUUUUGUAGAAUGAACCGGCGAGUUACGAUUUGAUGCAAGGUUAAGCAGUAAAUGUGGAGCCGUAGCGAAAGCGAGUCUGAAUAGGGCGUUUAGUAUUUGGUCGUAGACCCGAAACCAGGUGAUCUACCCUUGGUCAGGUUGAAGUUCAGGUAACACUGAAUGGAGGACCGAACCGACUUACGUUGAAAAGUGAGCGGAUGAACUGAGGGUAGCGGAGAAAUUCCAAUCGAACCUGGAGAUAGCUGGUUCUCUCCGAAAUAGCUUUAGGGCUAGCCUCAAGUGAUGAUUAUUGGAGGUAGAGCACUGUUUGGACGAGGGGCCCCUCUCGGGUUACCGAAUUCAGACAAACUCCGAAUGCCAAUUAAUUUAACUUGGGAGUCAGAACAUGGGUGAUAAGGUCCGUGUUCGAAAGGGAAACAGCCCAGACCACCAGCUAAGGUCCCAAAAUAUAUGUUAAGUGGAAAAGGAUGUGGCGUUGCCCAGACAACUAGGAUGUUGGCUUAGAAGCAGCCAUCAUUUAAAGAGUGCGUAAUAGCUCACUAGUCGAGUGACACUGCGCCGAAAAUGUACCGGGGCUAAACAUAUUACCGAAGCUGUGGAUUGUCCUUUGGACAAUGGUAGGAGAGCGUUCUAAGGGCGUUGAAGCAUGAUCGUAAGGACAUGUGGAGCGCUUAGAAGUGAGAAUGCCGGUGUGAGUAGCGAAAGACGGGUGAGAAUCCCGUCCACCGAUUGACUAAGGUUUCCAGAGGAAGGCUCGUCCGCUCUGGGUUAGUCGGGUCCUAAGCUGAGGCCGACAGGCGUAGGCGAUGGAUAACAGGUUGAUAUUCCUGUACCACCUAUAAUCGUUUUA
rnacentral:rRNA from 1 species